GAUGAACGCUGGCGGCGUGCCUAAUACAUGCAAGUCGAGCGAACAGACGAGGAGCUUGCUCCUCUGACGUUAGCGGCGGACGGGUGAGUAACACGUGGAUAACCUACCUAUAAGACUGGGAUAACUUCGGGAAACCGGAGCUAAUACCGGAUAAUAUAUUGAACCGCAUGGUUCAAUAGUGAAAGACGGUUUUGCUGUCACUUAUAGAUGGAUCCGCGGCGCAUUAGCUAGUUGGUGAGGUAACGGGUUACCAAGGCAACGAUGCGUAGCCGACCUGAGAGGGUGAUCGGCCACAACGGAACUGAGACACGGUCCAGACUCCUACGGGAGGCAGCAGUAGGGAAUCUUCCGCAAUGGGCGAAAGCCUGACGGAGCAACGCCGCGUGAGUGAUGAAGGUCUUCGGAUCGUAAAACUCUGUUAUUAGGGAAGAACAAAUGUGUAAGUAACUAUGCACGUCUUGACGGUACCUAAUCAGAAAGCCACGGCUAACUACGUG
rnacentral:rRNA from 1 species